UACAGAGGGGGCUAGCGUUAUUCGGAAUUAUUGGGCGUAAAGGGCGCGUAGGCGGCCCUGCGUGUCUUCCGUGAAAUCCCUCGGCUCAACUGAGGACGUGCGGAAGAAACUGCAGGGGCUCGAGUCCGGGAGAGGGGGGGUGGAAUUCCCAGUGUAGCGGUGGAAAUGCGUAGAUAUUGGGAGGAACACCGGUGGCGAAGGCGGCCCCCUGGACCGGUACUGACGCUGAUGCGCGAAAGCGUGGGGAGCAAACGGG
rnacentral:rRNA from 1 species